GCGCCGGGAUGAAGCUGAGGCUGCGCCAGCGCCUCUCGGGGCCGAGAGGAGCGGGCACUGCUCUCCCGCUUAUGUAGCCGCGUGGUAGCACCGCGUUAGCGGCACGGAACGCAGCGGGUGUCUCCACCUGCGAUCCCACGCGGUGCGCACCGGCCGCUGCAAAGCAAGCGCGAGCAAACAGCGUUUGUUUUCCACGCGCGGGGCACGGAGGUAAUCAGUGGGACGCUUCGUUCCCAGGAACGUGGGAACCGAGGAGAACGUCGGGGAAACAGCGCGAACGGAUGGAAUGGCUGAAAAACCGGCGGCCGCCUUGCGGAAACCCGAAGGCCAUCUUUAUGGAGCGGAGAACCGACAAAGUGAAGACUGAGCAACCAGACUGGGGAGAGUGUUUGCUACUAACCUUUGCAUUACCCUCUCCGAACUUUGCUCUGCCCUCGUGGAGCACUGAUCCCCAGGACAAUUCAAACACUGUGCAGUUCUCCCUCACUGCCCUGUAAUGGUGAGUGUUGGUACUGGGAGCACAGU